UGUCCGUGAUCUGUAAAGUGAAAAUACACAGAGCUAUGAAGCAUACAAAUGUUUCGAAAUUUUAUCAAUGAUUGUAUACUAUGCAUGUUUUGAUUUAGUUCGUUUCAGAUUUGACAUGAGAUGAAAACCUGACAUGAUUUGAACAGAGCUGGGAAACGAAAAGAUUUUCAGAUGUGUGCUGGCAGUUCAAGUCUGGCAGCUGGAGUGAACAGUCGUGUUUUCUGGAGCUCCAACAAUAUGCUAGAAGGAGUGCUUAUCCAGUGAUGAUAUGACAGUUGGAGUGAACAGUGGAGCCAAGCAGUCUUGUUUUUGGAGCUACUCAACAAGCCUUGAAGGUAAGUUUAGAAUUUCUCAAUGUUAGUGAAUUGAAGUACUGUCACUUGCUUUUGGACAGUCGAACAGAACAGACGUGGUUGCGAGAGCUCUCAUAUCUGUUGUGUUAAACUGUUUUUAUGAUAUGUUAUGUUUGUUUGUUUGUUUGUGAUGUACUAUUUUUCAGAUGCUGAUGGCAGUGAUGGGUUUUCAAGCUGACCUGAACAGAAAAGCACUCAUAUGGUAAGUACAAAAUAGUUGUUAUAUGGGA